rnacentral:misc_RNA from 1 species
AAUUAAUUGAAUGGUGUGAAGCAAUUUAUUAUUGAAAAGUGGUUUCAGUUGACUUCAUCUAUUAAUAGCGCUUCCUUGGUUUGGGAUUGGAUGUUAGGGCAGUGGUCUACAAGUUAUUGUUGAAUGUCUCUGCUUUCUAGUCUGACAUUAGUGGCUGUGCCUUCUGUUUUGGUUCAUGUGAUUCCCUCCUCUGUUUUGAAAGUUGGGAGUUCAUCGAUUAAUAGUCCUUUCAAUACAUAUUCUAAAAAAAAAUGCAUGCACAAUUCUUCAUUAAUAAUCUGUAUGUUUCCUGCGGUACAAUUUGUAACUAUGAAAUUGUUCUUGUUCAACAGCGACAACUGCAAUACAUCGAUU